UUUGACUAAGUUGACUAGAAACGAAGAGAAUUUUGAGUGGAUACCUGAGUACGAGGAAAGUUUUCAAGAAUUAAAGAAGCGGCUUACAAUGGCCCUUGUAUUAACCUUACAUAAUGAGACAUGAUAUUUUGUGGGUUUAUAGCGAUGCAUCUCAUCAAGGACUUAGAUGUGUUCUUAUACAUACAUGGAGAGAUGAUAGCAUAUGCUUCUAGGGAACUUAAGGCUCACGAGCUGAGAUACCCCACAUGACCUAGAGUUAGCUGCUAUAAUGUUUUCUUUAAAGAUUUGGCGACAUUCCUUGUAUGGUGAGAAGUGUGAGAUAUUUACGGAUCGUAAGAACUUAAAAAUACGGUUUGCUCUGAAAGAAUUGAAUAUGAGACAAAGUAGAUGGUUAUAAUUGAUAAAAGACUAUGAUUGUACAAUUAACUAUCACCCAGGGAAGGCUAAGGUAGUUGAUGACGCGUCAAGUAGAAAGGAGAGAAUUAAUGUGAUGUCUUGAUUAAAGAAAUUGAUUAAGAAUAUGGAAAAUCUAGGAUUGAAGAUUAAGGAUUCAGAGCAUAAGGAUGGAAGGAUUUUUGAGAUAUAAGUGCAGCCAGAGAUACUUGAAAAUAAUAAAACAAAUUCAAGAGUUGAUAAUUAAAGAAAGACAUUUUGAAUUUACUAACGAUGAGAAUUUAAGUGAAAUAUGAGAAAGGAAUUAUGAGAUUUGCUAAAAGAAUUUGGAUUCCUAACCUGUUUGAUCUUAAAAGAGAUAUUUUUUAGUAAAGCUCAUGAAUCGAGAUAUUCAAUACACCAGGAAAGUACUAAGACGUACCAAUAAUUUAAGAGAAACUAUUAGUCCCCUAACAUGAAAAGAGAAAUAGCUGAGUGGGUGAGUAAAUGUCUGACUUGUCAAAAAGUGAAAGCAGAGCACCAAAGACCUAACGGAUUAUUGCGGCCAUUAGAGAUUCCAGAAUGGAAAUGGGAACACAUCACCAUGGACUUUAUAGUUAGAUUGCCAAAGACUCGAGCUAAUCAUGAUGCUAUUUGGGUAAUUGUAGAUAGGUUGACGAAAUUAGCAUAUUUUCUUCCUAUUAGUGAAAAGUACACCAUGAAGAGAUUAGUAAAGCUAUAUAUGAAUGAGGUCGUGACCAGACAUGGAGUGUCAGUGUCAAUUGUUUCAAACAGAGAUGCAAGAUUUUCUUCAAGAUUCUGGCAAGCUUUUCAAGAGUGUUUUGGGACUAAGCUUAAUUUGAGAACUGCAUAUCACCCACAAACAGCUGGGCAAAGUAAAAGAACAAUACAAACUAUAGAGGAUAUGUUAAGAGCUUGUUCAUUAGAUUUUAAAGGAAGUUGGGAUGAUCACUUGCCUUUGGUGGAGUUUGCAUACAAUAACAGCUACCAUGCUAGUAUUGGAAUGGCGCCUUAUGGAACAUUAUAUGGUAGAAAAUGUAGAUCGUCUCUUGUUUGGGAGGAAGUGGGAGAGAAAAAGUUAUUAAGACCGGAACUUGUUCAGCAAACUACACAAUUGAUCGAGAAGAUACACAAAAGGUUAGUUGAAGCUCAAGACAGGCAAAAGAAAUAUGCAGACUUAGGAAGAAAAGAAAUGACAUUUGAAGUUGGGGAAAAAUACUUUUGAAAGUAUCAUCUUGGAAAGGAAUAAUCAGGUUUGGAAAGAAAAGAAAAUUGAAUCCAAGAUAAAUCGAAACCUUCGAGAUUCUAAGAAAAGUUGGAGUCGUGUCUUAUCAAUUAGCUUUACCUCCAGAUCUACAACAUAUUCAUGAUGUAUUUCAUGUAUCUCUUUUGAAAGCUUACAAGACUGAUAUUCAGCAUGUUCUAAAUUAGGAGCCGAUUAACCUUCAGUCUGAUUUAACAUAUGAAAAAAAAAAGCCUUUGGAAAUUGUGGAGUCUAAGUUUCAGGAAUUAAGAAAUAAGAAAGUGAAAAUGUUUAAAGUAAUUUGGGGAAAUCAAACUGUAGAAGAAGCCACGUGGGAACUGGAAGAAGUAAUGAAAGAGAAGUAUCCCGAGUUGUUUCAGCAUCAAAUCUGAUUCCGAGGUCGGAAUCCUUUAAACGAGGGAAGAAUGUAACAACCGUAAAAUUUCAAGUACGUAAACAAAUUAAUUAUUUAAUUUUAUGCGGUUAAAGCUAUCAUUUAAAUAAUUGUGAAAUUAUUAUUUAAUAAAAAUAUUGGUACGUAAAACAUUUCAGGCUAGUACGAGGUUUGUUUAUAUCGGCUAGCAAAUUAAAUCCAUUUUCGUACCAUUAGGAUCUAAAUGUUGGCCACGUAAAUAAAUUGGUAGAUGUAUAAUUUUGUUAUGGCCCGGGAAUAUUAUAAAUUUUACGGGUUUAGCUAAAAGAAAUAUUUCGUUAUAACUAUUAAAUUUUGAAAUAUUUAGAGAAAUACUAGAAUAAUUAUUUAAUUAAUUAUUUAGUAUAAUCCCGAAUGAUAUUUUUUAUUAAAAUAUUUAAAUAGGAAGUUGUUAAAUGACCCGGGGCUAAAAUAUUUCCAGUUGCGAAACAUUUAAUAUACGGGCAAAUAAAAAGAAUAUAUAAAUAAAUAAAUAAAUAAUAUUUUAACAAAACUAGCUAACCGACUAAUGGGGUGGUUUGUGGCACAUUGGUUUAUCAAAACCAGGUACUUAAAAACCAAAGAGUAGUGCCCAAGUAAUUGUUAACCAAGGUAAAUUAAAUCUUAACCAUGAUUUAUGAUUAGUAUAAAUACCAAACACGUUGUUUAGUUUUAGUUUGGCAAAUUCAGGAGGUACCAAAGCAAGUAAAACUCAAGACAGUAAAGAAGAAUCAGAAUCCAUCAUCAAGAAAUUGAAUAUUCGGAAGGAUGAAACCGAUUAUACGUGAUAAUUACAAGAAUAUUAUCAAGCUAAGGACGACAGUGAGAUUGGCACAACCCAAGAGAUUUGCCCGGAAACGGGUUUUGGCAUAGGCAAGGAAAAGGCGCAUCACACAAGCUGAGGCUGCUAGACUACAUUGUUUGGUAGUACAACUAUAGUUAUUAUCAUGGUCUGUAAUCGGACUUGCAAAUAUGUAAUCAAGAUAGACCUGAUAGUAAUGUUGUAAGACGAUCGACCCUGGACUUGUGGGGCAAGAGUUGGAUUGUGUAAUCUUAAAUAUGUAAUGGAAGUUUUGUUUUGGGCCAGAUGUAUAGUGAUGGACCAAAUCUGCGGAAUGCGGAUCUGGGGGCGUCACAAUUUAUUUCAGUUUCG